rnacentral:rRNA from 1 species
UACGUAGGGGGCAAGCGUUGUCCGGAAUCAUUGGGCGUAAAGAGCGUGUAGGCGGCCCGAUAAGUCCGCUGUGAAAGUCCAGGGCUCAACCCUGGGAUGCCGGUGGAUACUGUCGGGCUCGAGUCCGGAAGAGGAGUGUGGAAUUCCUGGUGUAGCGGUGAAAUGCGCAGAUAUCGGGAGGAACACCAGUGGCGAAGGCGACUACCUGGCCUGUUCUUGACGCUGAGGCGCGAAGGCUAGGGGAGCAAACGGG